rnacentral:rRNA from 1 species
GAAUUCGCCCUUAGAGUUUGAUCCUGGCUCAGGACGAACGCUGGCGGCGCGCCUAACACAUGCAAGUCGAACGAGCGAGAGAGAGCUUGCUUUCUCGAGCGAGUGGCGAACGGGUGAGUAACGCGUGAGGAACCUGCCUCAAAGAGGGGGACAACAGUUGGAAACGACUGCUAAUACCGCAUAAGCCCACAGCUCGGCAUCGAGCAGAGGGAAAAGGAGCAAUCCGCUUUGAGAUGGCCUCGCGUCCGAUUAGCUAGUUGGUGAGGUAACGGCCCACCAAGGCGACGAUCGGUAGCCGGACUGAGAGGUUGAACGGCCACAUUGGGACUGAGACACGGCCCAGACUCCUACGGGAGGCAGCAGUGGGGAAUAUUGCACAAUGGGGGAAACCCUGAUGCAGCGACGCCGCGUGGAGGAAGAAGGUCUUCGGAUUGUAAACUCCUGUUGUUGAGGAAGAUAAUGACGGUACUCAACAAGGAAGUGACGGCUAACUACGUGCCAGCAGCCGCGGUAAAACGUAGGUCACAAGCGUUGUCCGGAAUUACUGGGUGUAAAGGGAGCGCAGGCGGGAAGACAAGUUGGAAGUGAAAUCCAUGGGCUCAACCCAUGAACUGCUUUCAAAACUGUUUUUCUUGAGUAGUGCAGAGGUAGGCGGAAUUCCCGGUGUAGCGGUGGAAUGCGUAGAUAUCGGGAGGAACACCAGUGGCGAAGGCGGCCUACUGGGCACCAACUGACGCUGAGGCUCGAAAGUGUGGGUAGCAAACAGGAUUAGAUACCCUGGUAGUCCACACUGUAAACGAUG